UCGGGAAUAUUGCGCAAUGGACGAAAGUCUGAUGGAGCAACGCCGCGUGAGUGAAGAAGGGUUUCGGCUCGUAAAGCUCUGUUGGUAGUGAAGAAAGAUAGAGGUAGUAACUGGCCUUUAUUUGACGGUAAUUACUUAGAAAGUCACGGCUAACUACGUGCC
rnacentral:rRNA from 1 species